UUGAAAAUUUAAUACUUUUUUUCGGGAAUUAUUUAAAUGAGCUCCAACUCAAUUCCUUAUUUAAUUUUACUCCAAAAAUAUUAAAUUUCCAAGUCUACUAGUUUAAUUAGGUAGCCCCAAAUCCACCAAAAUCUCUCGGCCCAAAGUAAAUUAAUUAUUAGGCCCAAAAUCCUUAAAUCCAAAUUCCUUCAUUUAAAAGGGACAAGCCCAAUUUCUUUAUUCUUCCAUUGGACUCUCUUUUUCUUUUAAUCCAAAGUGGCCCAAUCCUAAAGUCAAUGAGUCAAAUACCACUUCCACUCCCAUCGGUACUUCUCCAGAAUGUUUCCCCAAAUUUCUUCUUCCUUUCUCCUUCAUUAAUUUAAUUCGAGAUCCCCAAUUUGGGAAGAGCAACCCCACGCCUCCCCCUCAUGCCUCUCUCUCUUCUCUCCCUUCUCUCCUUUCUCUCCCUCUUCUCCCUCUUCCCUCAGCCUCACGCUGCUGCCGUCUUCUCUCUCUGGAUUCGCCGCCGUCACCGCUGCGGAUCCGCCCCAGCCGCCGUCGCGGGUCCGCCCCAGCCGCCAUCGCCGAGGAUCUCCCCCCCCUCCAGCCGCCGACGCCGAUUUCCGAGAGAUUCUAAAGAACGAAAAUAGUGACGAAUUUUUGGAGCGCGUCAGCGACGGAGGGCCGAGCUUGCUGCCGGAAAUUCUCCGGCAGAUUUACAUAUUUCUUCAAGAUAAGCUCCUAUAAUUAUUUGAGAAUAUGCCAUUUUAUGCUUAUAUGUGUCAUAGCAACUAUGUUCUUGAUUGGUCUACUUGCAACAUUGAAAAAAAAACUGUGGCUAUGUUCUUGAUUAGCUAGUUCUUCAAGACUAAGUUUGCCUACAGGAACGGUUUUAAUAUGUGGAUAAGUGAGUUGUGGUACUUACUUUUGUUUGAUUGUGAAAGAGAAAUGUUGAAUUUGCGCUUCCGUGUGAUUGUGAAAAAAAAAGCAGCUAGAUUUGCUUCCUCCUCUUGCUCAGCUUUGUUGUGAGAUUGAUGUGGAGUAAAAGUUUAUGUGGGGUUUGUGAAGGGAAAUUAGGAUAUCUGGUGUGUGUGUGUAUGGUGAAAGAAAGUGAUUUGCGUAAAUGUUCUUAUACAUAAAAGAUGGCAAGUAACUUAUCUUGCAAGAAUAAGUUGCAAGUGGCUUUCCUUACAUUAUUCAAUAUGAUGAUUUUUACUGCAAAUCUUUUAAUGCAGCAUUAAAUGCUGUGUUAAAACCUCUGAAUCUGCCCUCCCCUUUUGAGAAAAUUAUUUUAUUUUUUUAUUAUUUAUUUUUAUUUAUUUAUUUUUUUGUAAAUAUUUGAUUAUUUAAUUAUUUACUGGUUUAUUUAAUUUGGUGUAGGUAUACUCGGUUCCUGUUCGUGGCUAUUCGUGUUGAAGUACCCACUUCCAUACGAUGUAUAAAUUAAAUUUUGUUGGACUUUUGUUGGAUGUAUCGGACAACAAGAUUUUAAAUUUUUGGAUCUUAUUUAUUUAUUUAAAUUUAUUAUAAUCAUAUAGGUGUAAUA